AAAUCGAAACUAGUAAUAUUUAAUCCAAUGACUAAAAUAUUAUAAUACAUAAGACACUGACACAUGUACGUCGUAAAAUAAUAUAAUGCACAACACACUAACACAUGUACGACUCAAAUCGACCUGAUGGACAUGAUGAAGCAAUCCAAUUUAAUCAAAAAAUGAUAGAAGCUGCAAUGAAGAAAACAUUAAUAGAUCAGAAGAUAAUUGAAAAUUCAGUAGGAGAAGGAAGCAGAGCAGGAGUACCAACAAGUAGGAAAUCGUCCGGCCGUCAGCGCCACCCACCAGCCAGAUUUAGGGAUUUCAUCCCUCUUUAAGAAAUUAGUUAUUAAGUUUUAUUUUUAUGUUUUAAUGUCAUUUUUAUGUUUUGAACCUUAAAUUUUAUUUUUCGUUUUUUCAUUAUAUCCCUAUAAAGGGCCUUUUAUGUACUCAUAUUUGGUAUGAAAUAAAAUAAACCAGUUUCCAUUACAACUCUGUGGAGAAGUUCAAUCAACAAGAAAAUCUGUUGAUAUUCUGCUACUCUAUUCAUCUUCAACCCAGUUCUUGAAAAGUUCUGGAAAUCUUCCAGUCUACUCAAUCAGUAUACAGAUCGAUCAUCUCGGCUUCAUAGCCAAAGCUACCGUCUCACCGAUCCUUAGAUCGUAUUCUGAUAUACUGAUCAGGGACAUCCUGAAACAUUCCAGGUCAUUCAAAUCUUUUAAUUUACGCUCAAAGUCUCCUCUGAUCUCUGAUCGAAUUCCGAUCAAUAGAUCGGAGACAUCUAUCUCCGAUAGGUCUCUGUUGUGGAAUCUUUUAUUUUGGGUUUAAUUAAGUGAAACAAAAAUAUCUGUUUCACAUGAUUAACUUGAUACAUAUAACAUUGACACUGUACGGCGCACCUGAAGUGCGUCCUAAUAAUAUAUAUCCAAUACUAUGGAGAAUGAGAAGGAGGAAGCUAUUGGCAAAGAAUAUAGACUCAUUGGUAGAUGAGCAAACGUCAUGAAACAAUGCCUUCUCUGCGGUGAGGAGUCAGAAUCACGCCAUAACUUCUUUAGGUUCAUAUUUUAGACAUGGAUCCUAUAAGAGGGCAUAAAUGCGGUGGGGGAUUAGUUAACGGGCACCGAUCAGUACUUUGACGAUUUGAAUGCGGACAUGCGAUGUCGGCAAGUAUCAACAACACCUCCUAACGACCAACUCAAAGUGUUGGGGCUCCAUUGGACGUUGUUGAGUGUAAUUGUUUGACAUUUAUGUAGGGAAAGAAAUUAGAGGUAGAAGGUAGGCAAAUUCCGUUCGGAGGAGUCGAUCCUCAAGGAAUGCAUCAUGACAGCGGAAAUCGACUUCAAGGAUGAGAGACUCAAGAGAUCCCCUAACCCUAACUGCGAGCGGACAAUAAUGCACCAUUGAGAUACACCACGAUCUAAAAUUUCAAAUUAUUUAAACAAAAGAAUUUUUAUGCAAAAUUUAUAUAAAAAAAUUAUUAAACCCACCCAACAUCCAAAUCGAGUUCGUUUUAACUUUUUUAAUUAUAGAGUAAUAAAUUUUGUACGAAAUUAGCUUUUAAUUUUAAAUAUUAUUUAUUAAAAUAGAUUUAUCAAUAAUCUAUUCUUAUAAAUCGAUAUAAAAUUUAUUAUAUAAUCAAUUUAUUCAAUAUCUAGAAUUAUUUUUAAUUAUAAAGUAUUAAAUGUGGUACGAAACUAGUUUUUAAUUUUAAAUAUCAUUUAUGAUUUUUUUAUCUUUUCUUUCUAUCCUUAAUUGAUAUAAAAUUGAUUAUAUAAUCAAUUUAUUUAAUAUUUAGAGGGUUAAUUUCGUACAAAAUAUAUUACUCAAUAAAAAUUCAUUCAUUCAUUAUUUAUCUUAUUUUUUAAUUAUUAAUCUUAUCUCAAGGAGUCAAGGCUGAAGAUUAUUUAAUAAUAUAUCUAAUGAUUUUUUUAACGAACUAAGAAAUAAUUAAAUGUAUAAUUUAAAAAAGCAAACAAUUUUAAUAAAAUUUAAUGUUUAUUUUCAAGGGACAGGUUUUCAGUGCGUCGAAUUUCAAUGCGUUAAAAAAUCCUGGAUUAAAAAUUAAAAGACAAAAUGCACACGAUGCAUUUUGACGCACCAACACGGAUUUUUAGGUGAUGUAGAGUUUUGGAAGCUUGCCUUAGAUUAGAUGGUGAAUUAAUUAAGAUUUAAGAUAUCAUAUUAUAUCUUAUUAUAUUGUGAAUUUUGAUUAUGCAUCUUUUUGUCGACAGUCCCAAAUCCCAAUGAUGCAAGCAAGCAAGCAAGCAAGCUUUAUUGACGGCACAUUUCAAGGCCGAAAUGAAUCGCCGAUGAGUAUGAAUAGCGACAUUUUACUUCAAUCUUUAAUUUAGUUUCAUCUGACAAAAUAAAUGACAUUAUUUGAAGCCUUUUGUUCACUGAGAAUAAAUAAAAGUUGGAGUUCCCAUGUGAUGUGAUUUGUGACUGUUGUGAUUGAGCAUCAUUUUUUUUCAAAUAUUC
rnacentral:lncRNA from 1 species